GACGAACGCUGGCGGCGUGCUUAACACAUGCAAGUCGAACGGAAAGGCCCUGCUUUUGUGGGGUUCUCGAGUGGCGAACGUGUGAGUAACACGUGAGUAACCUUCCCUUGACUUUGGGAUAACUUCAGGAAACUGGGGCUAAUACCUGAUAGGAGCUCCUGCUGCAUGGUGGGGUUUGGAACGUUUCGGCGGUUGGGGAUGGACUCGCGGCUUAUCAGCUUGUUGGGGGGGUAGUGGCUUACCAAGGCUUUGACGGGUAGCCGGCCUGAGAGGGUGACCGGCCACAUUGGGACUGAGAUACGGCCCAGACUCCUACGGGAGGCAGCAGUGGGGAAUAUUGCACAAUGGGCGGAAGCCUGAGGCAGCAACGCCGCGUGCGGGAUGACGGCCUUCGGGUUGUAAACCGCUUUCGCCUGUGACGAAGCGUGAGUGACGGUAAUGGGCAAAGAAGCACCGGCUAACUACGUG
rnacentral:rRNA from 1 species